UUUUCACAGAGCCAAGAAAGGGUUCUUCUUUCAAACCCUAAACUCACUAAAUUUCUCAAAAUUGAAGAUGAAUCAAGCUAAAAAUUGGGGCUUCAACUAAUUCCGUGAUCACCUAAGCUAGGAGAUCACAAUUUUGACGCUGGAUAAGCUAGGUGGAAGCUUGGGAAGGAAGUGGGUCAAACGAAUCAAGUAUGAAGAAAAAACGUAUUUAGGAUGCAAGGUGAACGAUAGUAAGCUUACGAAUGAAGAUCAAGCUCGUUUGAAGGACCGAACACAAUCAGAAAUUAAAGCUUCUGCAAUACGCUUCACCAUCCCAACUUGAACGACGACAUAUUUAUAUUAAGACGAAAUGUUUUAAAUUCUUAAAAGUUUUGAGAAACCCGUAUUUUCAACGUAUGUGUAAUCGCAAAUACAAAUUGAUUGUCGAAACUUAUA